GGAGAGUGGCUGUGGAGAAGCGAGUGUGCGUAAGAAGAGGAGUGGCGGAGUUUGGGCUGAGUGGAAAAACACGGUCUGCACUUGAAUCCAUCUGUUAGCCCUGAGAAAAUGUAGAAGAAGAUGAGCUUCUGUGUAGAACUGAAGAAGCUUCUCGGAUGAGAGGUGAAACGUCUUCAAGCAACUUAAAGAAGUCCAGACGCUUUUCUUUCCAAGCUCCUUAGACUAUGAUGACCUGGAUGACUGACAACCUUCACAGACAACUUCACUCAUGGAUACUGAAGUGUUUUCUUAUUGUUUGUAAUAGCUGUGUUCUUCCACAGGGAGGAGCUGUAAAGCACAUUCCCACUGUUUUCCUUAAGGUUUCUGUACCUUUUGGUUUCAUCAGUAGU